AUGCUUGUGUUGGCAGCACAUGUACUAAAAUUGGAACAAUGCAGAGAAGAUCAGCAUGGCCAUUGCACAAGGAUGACAUGCAAACUUGCGAAGUGUUCCAUAAUUUG
ensembl:snRNA U6 U6 spliceosomal RNA